rnacentral:rRNA from 1 species
UACGUAGGGUGCGAGCGUUGUCCGGAAUUACUGGGCGUAAAGAGCUCGUAGGUGGUUUGUCGCGUUGUUCGUGAAAACCGGGGGCUUAACCCUCGGCGUGCGGGCGAUACGGGCAGACUGGAGUACUGCAGGGGAGACUGGAAUUCCUGGUGUAGCGGUGGAAUGCGCAGAUAUCAGGAGGAACACCGGUGGCGAAGGCGGGUCUCUGGGCAGUAACUGACGCUGAGGGGCGAAAGCGUGGGGAGCGAACAGG